rnacentral:rRNA from 1 species
UGUCUAUUAAUUGUAGACCUGUAUGAAAGGCCACAUGAGAGCCAAACUGUCUCUUGUAAUAAAUCAAUUAAACUGAUCCCCUAGUACAAAAGCUAGAAUAAAUAUAUAAGACCAGAAGACCCUGUGAAGCUUAAACUAACCUGUUAAACCAACUAACAGCUACUUUAGGUUGGGGCGACCUUGGAACAAAACAAAACUUCCAAAUACCAUAAGCCAUACCUUAUAUACAGGCCCACAAGCCUCUAUAUGACCCAGUACUACUGAUAACUGAACCAAGUUACUCCAGGGAUAACAGCGCUAUCUUCUUCAAGAGCCCAUAUCAAAAAGAAGGUUUACGACCUCGAUGUUGGAUCAGGACACCCAAAUGGUGC